AGAACGAACGCUGGCGGCAUGCUUAACACAUGCAAGUCGAACGAAUAAGAGCUCAAGCUUGCUUGAGAAUUCUGUUAGUGGCAUACGGGUGAGUAACGCGUGGGAAUCUACCCAAUAGUACGGGAAUAACAGUUGGAAACGACUGCUAAUACCGUAUACGCUCCGAGGAGGAAAGAUUUAUCGCUAUUGGAUGAGCCCGCGUUUAGAUUAGGUAGUUGGUGAGGUAAUGGACUCACCAAGCCUACGAUCUAU
rnacentral:rRNA from 1 species